GAUGAAGAACGCAGCGAAAUGCGAUAAGUAAUGUGAAUUGCAGAAUUCAGUGAAUCAUCGAAUCUUUGAACGCACCUUGCGCUCUUUGGUAUUCCGAAGAGCAUGCCUGUUUGAGUGUCAUGAAAAUAUCAACCUUGACUUGGGUUUUGUGCUCUAGUCUCGGCUUGGAAUUGGGUGCUUGCCGCUUUUACGAGCGGCUCACCUUAAAUGUAUUAGCUGGAUCUGUCUUUGAGACUUGGUUUGACUUGGCGUAAUAAGUAUUUCGCUAAGGACAUUCUUCGGAGCGGCCUCGUUUCUAGGACGCUUGUCCGCUUUCCAAUACAAGUUCCACCUCGUGGACAUGACUUUUUAUUAUCUGGCCUCAAAUCAGGUAGGACUACCCGCUGAACUUAAGCAUAUCAAUAAGCGGAGGA
rnacentral:misc_RNA from 1 species